rnacentral:rRNA from 1 species
GAUGAACGCUGGCGGCGUGCCUAAUACAUGCAAGUCGAGCGGACGGACGCGAAGCUUGCUUCUUUGACGUUAGCGGAGCGCGUGUGAGUAACACGUGGAUAACCUCCCUGUAUGUCUGGGAUAACUUCGGGAAACCGGAGCUAAUACCGGAUAAUAUUUUGCACCGCGGGGUGCAAAAGUGAAAGACGGCCGUUCUGUCACGACUAGCUGGAUCCGCGCUGCAUUAGCUAGUUGGUAAGGUAACGGCUUACCAAGGCUACGAUGCAUAGCCGACCGGAGAGGGUGAUCGGCCACACUGGAGCUGAGACACGGUCCAUACUACUGCGGGAGGCAGCAGUAGGGAACCUUCCGCAGUGGGCGAGAGCCUGACGGAGCGACGGCGCGUGAGUUAUGAAGGUCUUCGGAUCGUAAAGCUCGGCUACGAGGGAAGAACCGAUGUGUCCGGAACUGUGGACAGCUUGACGGUACCUAAUCAGAAAGCCACGGCUAACUACGUG